rnacentral:lncRNA from 1 species
UUACCAAGGUUAUGGUCACCCACUGAUGCUAUUUCUAGAAGAAGGAGGAGUAGUGACGGUCUGCAAAAUUACCACUCAGGAGCCUGAGGACACACUGGAUUUUGAUUUCUGCAGCACCAAUGUUAUGAAUAAAAUUAUCCUGCAGUCCGAGGGACUCCGGGAAGCCUUUUCUGAGUUGGACAUGACAGGUGAUGUCCUACAGAUCACCGUGUCUCCUGACAAGCCCUACUUCAGGAAACUCCCAUCUUGACUAUCCCAAAGAUUCGGAUUUGGUGGAAGCAUUUCACUGUAAUAAGACCCAGAUCAACAGAUACAAACUUUCUUUACUGAAACCUUCUACAAAGGCAUUAGCUUUAUCUUGUAAAGUGUCUAUUCGGACAGAUAAUCGAGGAUUCCUCUCAUUACAGUACAUGAUUAGAAAUGAGGAUGGGCAAAUAUGCUUUGUGGAAUAUUACUGCUGCCCUGAUGAAGAAGUCCCUGAGUCUUGAAUAAUUCACUGUGAAUAUUUGUGUCUCUGUAGUUGGUGUUGUCACUCUGACUGUAUAAUCCUGAUGAUUUCAUAUUGGAUUAUAUACAGAGAUGCAUGGAGAAGAUAGGGCCAAGGUCCCAUUCUGUAAAUAGUGUUUAUUUUGUGAAUAAAUUUUUCAUGUGGCCAGAAAUUAUCUGGCUUAUUGUA